UGAAAUUCUUGUUAGCAGACGAAUGUUUUGAGUUGUUGGAAAAGAGAGUUUUUGGCAAGGGAAGUUGUCCUGAUGAAUUAAAAGAUGUUGGAGAAAGAAUUGCAGGAAACUGUGGUGGAGUACCACUUAUUGUAGUUGUCAUUGCAGGAGCAUUAGCAGGUCGUUCGAAUACAACUGAUUGGGAAAUAGUUGAGAGAGAUGUUGCACGACAUGCUUUUACCGUGAAUAAAAAUUGUGGUGUAUUUGUAGAGAUGAGUUACGAUCGUCUGUCUCAAGAAAUGCAGACGUGCUUUUUAUAUUCUGGUAUCUUCCCUCGGGGCUUUGAUAUCCCUGCUUGGAAAUUGAUUCGCUUGUGGAUUGCGGAAGGGUUAAUAAAGCCUCAGCAGUCAUCCACUCUUGAGGAGAUAGCAGAGCUUCAUUUGAAUGAUCUUGUUCAUAGGAAUUUAGUGAUACUAUUAGAAAAGAGGUCUGAUGGUCAAAUAAAGACGUGUCGUCUUCACGACAUGUUACAUCAGUUUUGCAGAACAAAGGCUGCUGACAAAUGGCUUUAUCAAGAAAUAUCUACAACAGCUGAUAACGCUGUUCCUUCUAUACAGGACCCAGAUACUUGCCGUCGAUUGUGUAUUCAACCAUCUACUCUGAAUGACUUUCUCUCCACAAAACCAUCUGCAGAACAUGUCAGAUCUUUCUAUUGUUUUUCCUCAAAACAAAAACAAAUUGACUUGUCUCCUAAUGACAUCAAACUCAUUCACAAAGCAUUUCCACUUAUGAGAGUCAUGGAUGUCGAAUCUCUCAGAUUUAUUUUCUCCAAAGACUUCAAAAAUUUGUUUCAUUUGAGGUAUAUUGCUAUCUCAGGUGACUUUAAGUCCCUCCCUCCUACCUUUGGUAAAUUCUGGAAUUUACAAACUCUUAUACUUACUACAAGUACCUCAGAGCCCACUCUUGACGUAAAAGCAGACAUAUGGAACAUGUUACAGUUGAGGCAUCUGCACACCAGCAUACCUGCAAAAUUGCCAUCCCCGACUGUCACGAAAGGUAAAUCUUCUUCUCUACAAACUCUUUCUAUGGUUGCACCAGAGAGUUGCAAGAAAGAUGUGCUGGCAAAGGCAUGCCAUCUUAAAAAAUUGGGCAUUCGAGGGCAAAUGGCGUCUUUUCUUGAAUCCAGAGGUGGAAUCAGCAACCUUGAAGAGCUAAAGUGCCUGGAACAUUUGAAACUGUUGAAUGAUGUUCUUUACAUGAAUAAAACAAUUCAACUUCCUUCAGCAUUCUUCAGACUUGUACGUACAGUAAAGAAGUUAACUUUGGCAAACACAAGGUUUGCAUGGAGUGAGGCAGAAAAAUUAGCACAAUUGGAAUCCCUUGAGGUUCUAAAGUUGAAAGAAAACGCAUUCAUGGGUGACACUUGGAAGCCGGAGGUAGGAGGUUUUAGCAAACUCCGAGUAUUAUGGAUCGAGAGGGCAGAAUUAGAAACUUGGGAGGCGUCUAAUCUUAACUACCCCAUCCUUAGGAACCUUGUUCUUGUCUCUUGUGAUAAGCUCAACGCUGUACCAGUUGAGCUGGCUGAUAUACCUAAUCUUCGCGAGAUGAAGUUGGAGAACACAAUCAAAGCGGUCAAAUCUGCAAAAGAUAUACUGCUUAAGAAAUCUCAAACUGUAACAUUCAAGCUUAGCAUAUUCCCUCCUGAAGCUGAAUCCAAUGCAACACAAUGAAGUUGAAAGCAGAGCAGCGGGAUUUUGAUCUGGAUUUCUGUGUAUGAUGUCGCGGCAUUUCAUGUUUUCUGUUGUGAUUUGUAAUACGCUAAAUAAAUGGAGUAUGUACUCCCUGGAGUUGUGUCUUUUUCGAGUUUCUGAUCAUUUUGGAGUGUUUUCUUUUUCAAUUGCAAGUCUGUUUGCUUCUUUCAUGUUUUCUGUUGUGAUUUGUAAUACGCUAAAUAAAUGGAGUAUGUACUCCCUGGAGUUGUGUCUUUUUCGAGUUUCUGAUCAUUUUGGAGUGUUUUCUUUUUCAAUUGCAAGUCUGUUUGCUUC
rnacentral:misc_RNA from 1 species